GGCUGUCCCCGCCUGCCCCGUGGUGGGCCUCCGUUUCCCCGUUGUGCACAUGGGGAUGACGGCGAAGGUGGAGGUCACGCGGAGGGCGGCGGCCCGGCGUUGAGGCGCUUCGGGAGCGGGCUCCGCCCUGCCCAGGCCGAGCCCGGACCUCACACUGGCUCCUAGAAGCUCGAGCUCCUGCGCGGCUGCGGGGGCGGCAGGUCUCGGCCAGGGCAGGGCCGAGCAUCUGCGCUUCUCGGGCUGCGGGGACGGGCGUCGGGCCCCAGGUCAGGCUGCACGGUCUCCUCGUGGGGCAGUGCUCGGACGGGGGCUGGCAGGUCCCGCGGGGACUCCAGACGCCCAGUGUCACCAACGGGGAAACUGAGUCUCAAGACAUCUGAGGGACCUUUCCCCGAGGUCGCAGCCCCUCCCGGGAGGAGCUAACGCGCAGAGUGGGGACCCUCUUGCGGAGACCCUCCUGGGACCUCUUUCCGUAGGGACCUGGGGUGCCUCCCUCUCCCUGCUCUGCCUGCGGGCACUGAGCUUCUGAACGACUCCAGCCCCUCGCUCUCCCGGUGACCCACUGGAGAAGAGACCUGGGAGGAACCUGGGGACAAUGGGUGUGUGUCCUUGGGCCGCCAGGGUCACCUUUCAGCCUGUUUCCCCGCAGGUGAACCAAGAGCCACACCCAAGGCAGGAGAGCAAGAGUGAUGAGUACGCUGUUUCUCACCGGCCAGGGGAGGGUCUUCCGCCGCCCUCACUUCGUGAUGCUUGCUCAGCUGGUGAAGCCCACACCGAAGCCCUGCGGGCGGCCCUGGGCUCCCGCGAAGUGCCUUGCUGAGUUCCUGGGAAGGAGGCGUGCCCUCCCCAUCCCCCACUACCACACUGACUGGGGUUCUCUGCAGCCCAGGAUUGCGCACGUGUGCGCACACGGGUUCUGUGCACAUUAACACAAAAGUGUGCUUGUGGACCCUGCGUGGUACUGUGUGUGCACACAGCGCACGUCUGUGAGCUGAGGGAGUGUGCCUGGACACCAGGUGCAAGUGCACAGGUGUGUGUAUGCUGGCACAAGUGUGUGCCCCGGCGCAAGCAUGGGAACAGUAGUAUAUGGCACAAAUGUGUGUGUGCACACAUGGGUGGGAGGGCAGAAGGGUACAUGUCCACCAGUGUGCCUGUGCUCAGGCCGGCCUGUCCUGGGCCCACCCAGGCUCCUUGCCCUGGUGUGUUUGAGCCUCUCCUGGCCCCCAGAAGACUGGUGUGUGCCUAUCUUACAGCCCAGCCAGGAUUUGGACAGGGCUUCACUAUGCUGCUAGGACAGCUAGAGUGCAGGGUAGCUGGCUCCUAUCCAGGGAGGAUGCCCAUGACUGCUGACCCCCAGGUUCCACUUGAAGGGGAAGGUUCGCCAGGACCAAUGCCUGUCAGAGCUGGCAGUCCGGACUGAGGAUGCCGGGUGCCUGGUAUGGCGUCCACCUCCCCCUCCAUGGCUGGCACUGUCUGUCUGGCCACCACCUCACUCAGCCUCCUCUGACAGCUCCGUGUUCAGUGGUGGAAAGGAGGGAAAAGUGAAACCCUCUUCCCCCCAGGGCAGACCACCUCCAGGAGCCACUUUCUUGACCAUACAAGGCGUAUAUGGGGAUGCUUCUGUACUUGGACACUGCAGGGGAAUAGUCUAGCGUGGGCAGAAACCACCAGAGGAGGGGCCCCAUCCCUGUUGGUUCCUCCGAAAUCUGGGCUGAGCCUGCCUGAGUGCCCCAUAGCAAGUUAGGGAAGGUAAACCUCUCCGUGAAAGAGCCAGGAGCCCACUCCCUCAGGCUGAGCCGAUGGGUAGGGCAAGGAGGAUGCUAAGGGAUCCCCGGAAAGGGACGAGGGAAAUAGCCAAUAGCUGUCUGGGCCUAGGGCCAGGGCUCCCCUCCCUUGCCUCAUCUCUGCCCCUCCCUAGAAGAGUUCAUCGCAUGACCUUGGGCAGCUCUGGGCUCUCUCCUUCCUCCAGAGAAGCAGGACCCCGGUGAAGAGCUCUGGUCCCAGCCCUUGGCCAACUGGUCCCAGAGGGAAUAUGGGCUACAAGGUUGGGGAGUGGUUCCAAGGCCUUCAGAAGGAACAUUGAGGCAGCACCCACUAAAGCCAACCCUAGAAACACUCCUGCUGUGAAUAGUAGCAUGGACUUCUUGGGGUUUAAGCCGAAUUUCCAGGUCAUUGUCGACCUGUGGAUUUGUUGUGAGUUUCCCUGUCCUCCCACCCUUCCUCUCUACCCUCUGCAGCCUAGCUCCAAUGUCGCCUGCUCAGGAGACCAUGCCUUGCUCCCCUGCAGCCCCUGCCUGGACAGAAAAAGGCCUCUGCACCUCCUGCUCUGCUCCCAACACAGCUUCUGCUCCAGCGAAGCCCACAGGCACUCAGUCCUUGAUUCCUGCACCCAUCAACCCCGCCGAGCCGCCCUCACUGUCACCAAGGCUUCCUUUGUCCCUUAGCAACAGAACCCCAGUUUUGUUCAAGGCAUCAAUGUACCCAGCCUCACCAGCAGCUGGGGCCAGCUGUGAAACUGUUUGCCCAGGGGAUGACCGCAGGAGGCACAAUCGAGCCUCCUGGUCCUUUGGAAGGAGCAGCUGUGGCUGCCCACCUCACUAACAAGAGUCUUCCUUUCUCCUUGCUCCAGCCUGAAGUGUGGGCAUGGCAUCCCGAGGACAGCAGCCGUGUGGCCAGCAAGGGACAGGGUCCCAAGCUGAGGAUGGGAGCAGCUGCCUUGGUGCCCCAAUGACCACCAUCAGACUCAUCACCAUCGGGAGAACAAGCCCCUGUUCGCUUUAUGGGGCUGCCUCAUUGGAUUUCGUUAGGCUUUCUGUAACUCAAGCCAGUGCCACUUCUAUUGUGGCUGAUUUGGGCUCCUAAGCUCAUGGGGUGGGACAUUGUUCUAUUAGCUGUGUCCUGCCCCCCAACAAUGAUGGCUCCUUGCAGGCAGGCCCCAAGGGCACGUUGUGGCCCCACACACAGCAAGUGCCUCACACCUGGAACAGCCCAGAGGAGCUUGUGAGGAGUGAGGACGCGGGAGCCACACUCCCAGGUGCCUGUUUUCCACAUGUCCGCAUGCAGCCCAGGCUUCCAACCACAUCUUAAAAAAUAAAAAGAUGGGGAGGAGAAGAAACUUUGGUCCUAACACCAAACCAAACCCUGUCUUGCUGUGUGAUGUUCAACGUGAGGCACACCUUCUCUGGGCUUGUUUACCAAAGCCGCAAUGCAGGUGCUGAGCACUCGUGAGGCCUGCCCAAGAGCGAGGUUGGUAAAGGGCUGAGCAGAACCAAGGGCAUGGAGUGUGUGGGAGGGUGAGGUUCAUUCCCUCGUCACCCACGCAGGGGCAGUGUCAUGAGGGAGCACGUGGGAGUCUCCGGGAAGGGCCUGACACAGCCCCAGCGCGUGGCAGGGGUCUGACCAUUCAAGACUCAGUCUGUGUCAUCAGAGACCAGGCUCUUAGAAACCAACUCCAGCCUGAUACACAUAACAGCUUCCCAAGGUGUUUAACACAGAGCAGGAGUGACGAAAAGAAAAAUGAAGUGAAAGAAUGGAAAAUCCAUCAACACGCAUGUGGAGUGCUGUUCUUGCUAAUGCAUCGUCCAAGAAAAAAUACUUGGCUCCCUUCCUGGGAAUGCUCCCACCCCGCAGCCCCCGCCUGGCAUCCCUGAGCCUGAGAUCAGCAGGUGGGGACGAGGGGACCGGAGGAGUCUUCUCCCUGCAAGGGCGCGGUCUGCCCGGAUUCCACAGCCACAGCGAGGCCUGCUGCUGGGUGCAGCUGCCCUUUCCUUCCCUGCCACAGUUCAUCUCAUCGGCAAAGCCUGUCUCCUCUUUCACUCAUUCAACAAGCUUUACUUCCACGCCAGACAACUUGCUAGGAUCUGGGGACACUGUCCAGUUUGAUUUGGUGGCUGAUGACAGAACGACCCAAAUAACAGUGGCUUAACGAUU